CACCGCCGGUACAAUAACGUCGUCGCGCCGCCGUUACGCCACUGAUCCGCGGCAGCCGCCGUGGUGGACGCGGAAGACAGCGGUGGUCGGCGCCGCGGUUUAUCUGACACGAUCAGCGGGGACUUAUCGCCCACGACCCCCGGUCUAUUAUAUUAUUAUAACGCGGUAUCGGUAAUAACCACGCAUCCAUAAUGAUGUAUACUCCGCCGUCAAAAGCGGGAUAUUUCCUCACAACUCCUGUCGCCCACCGUAUACACGCCGCUCUCGUUCCUAAAGACGACGCGCGUUUGUCUUUUAUAUUAUAUUCUCUUCUAUUAUAUUAUAGUCCGAUGAAAACGACCACCGCCGUAUGUUUUAUUGUUAUAAAUGUUAUAUUAUAAUCUCCAUACGUCGUAAAUUAUGUGUAAGUAUAUAUAUAUUAAUAAUUCGUACGCCGUAUCGUUCUAGUCCUAAACGAUGCCAAAUUACACACACACACACCUUCAUUUCGUUUUGUUUUUUUUUUUUUCUUUUUUGUUAUUAGUGUUAUUACCUAUUAUUUUAUUAUUAUUAUGAAUUAUUAUUAAUUAUUAUAGGUGCAUUAUACUUGCCGAAGUAGUUAAAACGAAACAUGGUCAUAGAUUGUUAGGUACCUACCUACCCUAUAAUGUUAUACAACGCUCGUGUUAAGAGGACCAGAUAAUCGCACGUGCGGAAACGUAUUAACAUAUUUUUGUUCUUUUAAUAUGUGAUGUGUGAAAACGCAUCGCUUUACAUUUCGCGCUCUAAAACACACUAUCUAGCAGUGGCGGAUUUGGUUCGUCUUCUAGGGGCGCGGGAGGAGGGCAACAUCAUUUUGGUCUAAAAAUUAUACUUUUAACUAACACGACCAGACUACAGUCAGUCAAUGUGAUCCCUAACCGUUUAAUGCGAUAUCACAACUAUCUGCAGAAACCGUGAUUAUAAUUUCUUAACACUCUGAAAUUCUAUACAGAUUUAUGAAUUAAAUUAUUAUUUAUAGGUAGUUUGAUGUCUAGGGGGUUCCAUGGCCCCUAUGGCCCAUCCUAAACGCCGCGCCUGCUACCUAGACAGAGGCGAAUUCGAAAUUUUAACCGGCCCGGAAGAAUUUCGUUUCAUCGGCCCAAUUAUUUGUUUUAUGUAUCUGUAGACACGACACAUUCAACCGUCUUCUCAUUGUCAAAGACGUAUGCACAAUACGUCAUUUAGGUAAUAAAAAUAUUCUCAUCGAAAAAUAAUAUUUUUAAAAAUAAAAAAGAACAAUUCUAAGUAUAAAAUUAGUUUUAUGGUGAUCAUUAUGACCAAACCGGUCAAAGAGUCAAACUUCUCGACCUCCCGGUGGUACAAUCCGCCACUGUACCUAGGUAUUUUAGGCCCCAUCGAGCCGAGUGUAAACUGUGAGACGACGUUAAUAAUAAAAAGAAACUACCGUUUUACCAUGUCUUAAAAUAGCAUAACGCCUCUUUGAAAUGUGAUGUCCGAGGCCCAUAAAUACAUCCCUGGUUGUACCCGUCUAAUGGACGCCAUGACAUAGUGAAUUUUCAUUCAACCGGACCAUUCAUUUGUGAUUUGGAUUUUAAUAUUAUAGAAUGAAUAAGAUAUUAUAGUAACACAGAUUGUAUUCUUACCUUUAAGUUCGAUAGAUCAGUUCAGUGUAAUAUCGAAGCUAACACGCAAGUUGAUUCCGCUGGUCGCGAAUUUACUAUGUCGUACGUUAACAGUGCAUGACAUGCAUAUUAUAUCACGUCUUCUUAAAAAAUAGAUGUAGGUACCUAUGUAAAUGUUCAAUAUUUUCGUCAGAGAAUAGUACCUAAGACUAGUUUCAUGUGCCUACGUUUCGAUGUAAUAUUAUUAUUAUUAUUAUUAUUUUUCGACGCAUUAGACAGAAAAAAUAAAAUGAUUACUUUACAUAUUAUUAUGGCACGUUUAUUUAAUAUUCGUGAAAAGUACACGCAAAUUAAUUUAAAACGAAUUUAAUUCGAGUUUUUUCAAAAUCUUCGUGAUCGAUUUUACGUAGGUAGGUAUAGAGGUACAUGUAUAAUAUUAUAGUUUUUUUUUUUCGAAUCAAAACGCCAUUCGCUGUUUACACUUGUUGUCUGUAGAUGUGUAUCGCGCGAAUACGUUCCCUCGAAUACAAUAUAAAUACAUAAAAUAUGCAUGAUCGUACCCUCAUUUAAUAUAGGUAAUAUAUCUUAAUAACAAUAAUUGAUAUUUAAUAUACCUACCUACCAACCAAAUAUUAUAAAGUAAUAAGAAAAAAAAAACCUUGUACAUUUUCUAAUGCUCAAAUUAUUCUAAUGCGUGCAAAAUUAAUAUUGUUUAUUAUUAUUAUUAUUAUAAUUAUUAUUAUUAUUAUUAUAUGUUGUAUUUGAGGGAUAAUAUUGUUAAUGUAAAUUAUUAUUUAUUAAUACACUAUAUUACAUAUGAUGUACUCCCGAAUAUUCGCAACCGUUCAAUGUGUUUUUUUUUUUUUUGUUUUUUUUCAUAAUUCGAAAUGAUAAUAAAAUACCUAUUAUAUCUGUUUACCUUUUCCUAAUCGGGUUUUGUCGACAAAACGUCGUCUGCAUAAUCCCUUCCACUAUACAAUUCGUGUGUGCAGUAUCAACCUAUAGGUAGUAAAUAUAAUAUAAAUAUUAAAUAAUAAUAAUAUAAAAAUAUUACUAUUUUUGUGUAUAAACGUUUUAUCGGAAGACAUUUAGAUUGUUUUAGUUUUUUUUUUUUUUUUUAAUGUAUUAUGUUAUUACGCCUAAUUUUUAAUAAUUGGUAAUUUGUUGUUUAGUAUACAAUAUGAAAGUUUCCUGAAAAAAUAUGAAAAAAAUAAUUAAAAUUUCACUACUAUAAAAUGCGUCCAUUUAUUAAACUUUAUAUUCAAAAAAAAAAAAAAAAUUGUAAUGAGAUGUUUCUCUAUAUGGUUAUGGUAUAUAAUAUAAUAUUAUACCUGCUCCCCUUUUGCUGCAGUUUACAGCUUUUUUUAAUGUUUUAAAUGUAACAUAUCCGUUCAGAUAUUGUAUACGAUUGUUGGGA